CCUACGGGCGGCAGCAGUGAGGAAUAUUGGUCAAUGGGCGUAAGUCUGAACCAGCCAAGUCGCGUGAGGGAUGAAGGUUCUAUGGAUCGUAAACCUCUUUUAUAAGGGAAUAAAGUGUGGGACGUGUCCUAUUUUGUAUGUAUCUUAUGAAUAAGGAUCGGCUAACUCCGUGCCAGCAGCCGCGGUAAUACGGAGGAUCCGAGCGUUAUCCGGAUUUAUUGGGUUUAAAGGGUGCGUAGGCGGCUUGUUAAGUUAGCGGUGAAAGUUUGUGGCUCAACCAAAGAAUUGCCGUUGAAACUGGUGGGCUUGAGUAUAUUGGAGGCAGGCGGAAUGCGUGGUGUAGCGGUGAAAUGCUUAGAUAUCACGCAGAACCCCGAUGGCGAAGGCAGCCUGCCAAGCCAUGACUGACGCUGAUGCACGAAAGCGUGGGGAUCAAACAGGAUUAGAUACCCGUGUAGUC
rnacentral:rRNA from 1 species